rnacentral:rRNA from 1 species
UACGUAGGGCGCAAGCGUUUGUCCGGAAUUAUUGGGCGUAAAGAGCUCGUAGGCGGUUUGUUGCGUCGGCUGUGAAAUCCCGAGGCUCAACCUCGGGUCUGCAGUCGAUACGAGCAAACUAGAGUGUUGCAGGGGGAGACUGGAAUUCCUGGUGUAGCGGUGAAAUGCGCAGAUAUCAGGAGGAACACCGGUGGCGAAGGCGGGUCUCUGGGCCGAUACUGACGCUGAGGAGCGAAAGCGUGGGGAGCGAACAGG